CGGGGCGUAGCGCAGUUUGGUAGCGCACUACUUUGGGGUAGUAGGGGUCGUGGGUUCAAAUCCCGCCGCUCCGA
rnacentral:tRNA from 24 species